AGCAGCCGCGGUAAUUCCAGCUCCAAUAGCGUAUAUUAAAGUUGUUGCAGUUAAAAAGCUCGUAGUUGAAUUUCGGGGUUAGUAGGUUGGUCAUGCCUCUGGUAUGUACUGGCCUCACUGAUUCCUCCUUCCUGAUGAGCCGUAAUGCCAUUAAUUUGGUGUUGCGGGGAAUUUGGACUGUUACUUUGAAAAAAUUAGAGUGUUUAAAGCAAGCUAACGCUUGAAUACAUUAGCAUGGAAUAAUGAGAUAGGACGUUCGAUCCUAUUUUGUUGGUUUCUAGGAUUGACGUAAUGAUUAAUAGGGAUAGUUGGGGGCAUUAGUAUUCAAUUGUCAGAGGUGAAAUUCUUGGAUUUAUUGAAGACUAACUACUGCGAAAGCAUUUGCCAAGGAUGUUUUCAUUAAUCAAGAACGAAAGUUAGGGGAUCGAAGACGACCAGAUACCGUCGUAGCCUUAACCAUAAACUAUGCCGACUAGGGAUUGGAUGAUGUUAAUUUUUAAUGACUCAUUCGGCGCCUUAA
rnacentral:rRNA from 1 species